UUCGAACAUUCCACCUCGGGUUUCCGGCGUCCAUUAUUGAUGACGUCAUCAAAGAAAAUUUAAAAGUCUGUGAAAACUGUUUUCGUUACCUCCUGGUGAUGGAGCUUUAGUCUACAGAUUUUUGCGAGGAUUUGAUUCCUGAUAUUUGCCGGUGACGAGAUUACCGGAACCUGUAACAAAAGUCUACUUGGAAAGUGCCAUCCUUUUCGCGUUGCCAACAUCUACGGAAGACAAAAUUGAGGCUGACUACAUCAUUGAUUUAAAGAU